UACAGAGGUCUCAAGCGUUGUUCGGAUCCAUUGGGCGUAAAGGGUGCGUAGGCGGCGCGGUAAGUCGGGUGUGAAAUCUCGGAGCUUAACUCCGAAAACUGCAUUCGAUACUGCCGUGCUUGAGGACUGGAGAGGAGACUGGAAAUUUUACGGUGUAGCGGUGAAAAUGCGUAGAUAUCGUAAGGAAAGACCAGUGGCGAAAGGC
rnacentral:rRNA from 1 species